rnacentral:rRNA from 1 species
UGGGGAAUAUUGGGCAAUGGGCGCAAGCCUGACCCAGCGACGCCGCGUGGGGGAUGAAGGUCUUCGGAUUGUAAACCCCUGUCGGGAGGGACGAACGUUUCACGGCAAAUAGUCGUGGAACUUGACGGUACCUCCAAAGGAAGCCCCGGCUAACUCCGUGCCAGCAGCCGCGGUAAUACGGAGGGGGCAAGCGUUAUUCGGAAUUACUGGGCGUAAAGCGCGCGCAGGUGGCUUAGCAAGUGGCGGGCGAAAUCCCUCGGCUCAACCGAGGAACUACCUACCAAACUGCUGAGCUUGAGUCUGGGAGGGGAGAGCGGAAUUCCUGGUGUAGCGGUGAAAUGCGUAGAUACCAGGAGGAACACCGGUGGCGAAGGCGGCUCUCUGGACCAGUUCUGACACUCAUGCGCGAAAGCGUGGGGAGCAAACAGG